AGCCGAUUUCUCUACUGGUGAUAAUUCCAUCGAGUGUCUAUCACCGGGAGUAAAUCUGCUCU
rfam:Caenorhabditis brenneri strain PB2801 C_brenneri-6.0.1_Cont34.27, whole genome shotgun sequence.